ensembl:snRNA U7 U7 small nuclear RNA
CAGUUUUACAGUGCUUUUAGAAUUUGUCUAGCAAGUUCUCUGGUCUUUUUUGGAAAACCAGU